AGAGUUUGAUCCUGGCUCAGGAUGAACGCUAGCGGUGGUCACGGGACAUGCAAGUCGGACGGGAUCCAUCGGAGAGCUCUGCUCGAGGAUGGUGAGAGUGGCGCACGGGUGCGUAACGCGUGAGCAACCUACCUCUAUCAGGGGGAUAGCCUCUCGAAAGAGAGAUUAACACCGCAUAAUAUAUCUGACCGGCAUCGGUUAGUUAUUAAAUAUUUAUAGGAUAGAGAUGGGCUCGCGUGACAUUAGCUAGUUGGUAGGGUAACGGCUUACCAAGGCGACGAUGUCUAGGGGCUCUGAGAGGAGAAUCCCCCACACUGGUACUGAGACACGGACCAGACUCCUACGGGAGGCAGCAGUAAGGAAUAUUGGUCAAUGGGCGGAAGCCUGAACCAGCCAUGCCGCGUGCAGGAUGACUGCCCUAUGGGUUGUAAACUGCUUUUGUCCAGGAAUAAACCUUUCUACGUGUAGGAAGCUGAAUGUACUGGAAGAAUAAGGAUCGGCUAACUCCGUGCCAGCAGCCGCGGUAAUACGGAGGAUCCGAGCGUUAUCCGGAUUUAUUGGGUUUAAAGGGUGCGUAGGCGGCCUAUUAAGUCAGGGGUGAAAUACGGUGGCUCAACCAUCGCAGUGCCUUUGAUACUGAUGGGCUUGAAUCCAUUUGAAGUGGGCGGAAUAAGACAAGUAGCGGUGAAAUGCAUAGAUAUGUCUUAGAACUCCGAUUGCGAAGGCAGCUCACUAAGCUGGUAUUGACGCUGAUGCACGAAGCGUGUGGAUCGAACAGAUUAGAUACACUGGUAGUCCACGCCCUAAACGAUGAUAACUCGAUGUUGGCGAUAGACAGCCAGCGUCCAAGCGAAAGCGUUAAGUUAUCCACCUGGGGAGUACGCCCGCAAGGGUGAAACUCAAAGGAAUUGACGGGGGCCCGCACAAGCGGUGGAGCAUGUGGUUUAAUUCGAUGCAACGCGAAGAACCUUACCUGGUCUUGACAUAGUAAGAACUUUCCAGAGAUGGAUUGGUGCCUUCGGGAACUUACAUACAGGUGCUGCAUGGCUGUCGUCAGCUCGUGUCGUGAGAUGUUGGGUUAAGUCCCGCAACGAGCGCAACCCUUUUCCUUAUUUGCCAGCGGGUUAAGCCGGGAACUUUAAGGAUACUGCCAGUGACAAACUGGAGGAAGGCGGGGACGACGUCAAGUCAUCAUGGCCCUUACGACCAGGGCUACACACGUGCUACAAUGGUCGGUACAAAGGGUUGCUACCUAGCGAUAGGAUGCUAAUCUCAAAAAGCCGAUCGUAGUCCGGAUUGGAGUCUGCAACUCGACUCCAUGAAGUCGGAAUCGCUAGUAAUCGCGGAUCAGAAUGCCGCGGUGAAUACGUUCCCGGGCCUUGUACACACCGCCCGUCACACCAUGGGAAUGUUUUGCACCAGAAGUAGGUAGUCUAACCGCAAGGCUGGCCGGUCCACGUUGUGGCCGAUGACUGGGGUGAAGUCGUAACAAGGUAUCCGUA
rnacentral:rRNA from 1 species